GACGAAGGAUGCAAGCGUUAUCCGGAUUCAUUGGGUUUAAAGGGAGCGUAGGUGGCCUUAUAAGUCAGUGGUGAAAUCUCUGGGCUUAACCCAGAAAUUGCCAUUGAUACUGUAGGGCUUGAGUAUAGAUGCCGUUGGCGGAAUAUGACAUGUAGUGGUGAAAUACAUAGAGAUGUCAUAGAACACCGAUUGCGAAGGCAGCUCACAAAACUGUAACUGACGCUGAGGCUCGAAAGUGCGGGGAUCAAACAGG
rnacentral:rRNA from 1 species